rnacentral:lncRNA from 1 species
GUUUACAAACGUUUGUUAAAAAAUUACAUUUUUGACAAUUUUUCAAAUAUCUUAUCUGCAUGUGGAAUUGCUUAUUUAGCUAGUACAAUUGCCUAUACUCCCAAUAGUCUACAUCAUGAAAUAGGUAAUCAUUUUGAAUAUAAAACUGGUAGUAUUUCUGCAUUAGUUUUUUUUAUAUUACUACUGAUGUUCAGUCUGAAAUUAUUAUAUGGGAUUCAAACGGGAAAACGAUUAAUGUUUGUUCCUUGGAUGGUGUGCAUCGUCAUCAUUAUAGUAUUGCAGAGUGCUGCACUUUUCAUGUACUUAGUAAAUAUGUACAAUAUUAUGGACCGGCAUCAAUUUGGCCUUUUAAUGAUAAUGAUUGGUAUGUUAGGAGUGAAUGUUGGAUGCUUUAUCCUAGUCAAUACUUACUAUCAGGUCUUAAGAUUGGGUUUAAAAGAGUAUAGCCCACUGGUAUACACAAUUAUGUAAUAUUUUAAACAUUCUGGAUUCAGAAAUUCUUCAUCGUGAUUUAUAUGAUAUAUAUAAUUUGGUUAUGUUUCACUAUUUUGGUAUCAAUAAAAAAUGACAAUGAUUAACUAUCAAUAUUUUAAAAAAAUUAAUGUCUAAUAAUCUAUUAUAAUCCAAAUAAUUCUAGUGGAUUAUUUUGGAAUUACUAUACAUUGUAAUUAAUAUAAUAAUGUCUAUUAUCCAAGGUAAGGUGCACCAAGAAUAAUCUCGGAUUAUCAAACUCUAACAUGGAUUGUUUAAUCGAUUAAGUAGGAUUCUACUUUGACUGCCUCAUGUUUUCGUGGGGUAAACGUGUAGUUUAGUCCAGU